UGAGAAAAUGCACCUGUUAAUCUUAUGUUGUUGCGUUAAAAGAGCUACUGCAACGGUAAGCGUCCAAAUAAUUUUGAAUUAUUAAUUUCCCACUUAUGUUAGAAAGUUCUUUAACCGGCGAUUAUGCAGCAGAUAACUAUUUUCUCUCUCCUCCAACUUUAAAACCCUUGUUCAAUUGCCCGCUUAUCAUCGCCUCUUCAAAACCUGUAUAAAAAUGGCGGAAAACAGCAACUCACCAACUUAAAGCCCAGAAAUUAUGGAACCCUGACCAGAAUCCAAAAGCUUUAACACCAUGAAAACUGAUCGAAUUGAAAAACCCUAAGAAUAUUUUCUUGAAAAAAAAAAAUCAAUCUCCAAAAUCAAAAAACUGCUUAAGGUAUGCGAAUUGUGAUUAUAUACUAAGAGGAAGAGGAUUAAAUCAAGAACCACGAUGUUUCUUUCAAUAUUAUUCCAAUUUUUUUUUUCUAGAAUUCAUGAAUAUCUGCAAAAUUCAAGUUUUCAAUGCAGCAAGUAGGUGAAAUCAUUCAAGAAAACCCAAGUAAAGAGGCGAAAUUCGGUUUAUUAGUCGCCCUUCAAAAGGUAUAUUCUUCAAUUUCAAUUGUUAUGGAACUUUUAGUGCUAGUGACUUCUUCAAUUUCCAUGCCUUUAACAUCUUUGAACCAUGGCUUCUCAAUAUUAUAACAAACCAAUCCUUGAGUCCAAAUGGCUUUCAUAUAUAUCUAGUCUAAUAUGAAACGAGAAAUAGAAUUAAGUACGGCGUACGGCGUGAAAUCUGUAAGCUUGAGGAUGAGAAUUUUUUUGAUUAGAUUACACCACUCGACUGCAAAGUUUGAUAGUUGCUAAGUAUCAAUUAAGUUUUAUGUGACCGAUUCCGAAGUAUGAAUUCUGAAACGCUGUGGCAGAAGCAGAGGAAGCAGCUUUAGAGAGUCUAAGUAGCCAUGUUUGAGUUGUUGUUGCAACAUUAGGUGGCAAGCAUGGUGCUGCUGGACGAUUUCGAAUAAAUGCGAGCAUCUUUAUACAGGCUUUACUCUCUGGUUAUCACAAUCUAAAGCAACAGCUUCUAUUACAGAUAAGAAGAAGAUAUAGCAACAAAGCAAAGGAAACGAGAAACUAAAGGAAACCGAGUGUGGGAUCUCUUAUUCUUUCCCAAUUUGAUCGAAACCAAGGGAUGCAUCUAGAGAUCAACAUCCUACUAGUGACUCAAAUGGGAAAGCUUCUGAUGGGCUGCAAUUGUCAGAUAGUGAGGUGAACAAUGAGGCAAUGGAGGAGAUCAAACAUGGAUGUCUCACCAUAUAUACGCUAUUGGUGGCCGGAUCUAGCUAGCUAUAUAUAGUAAUAUGGUGCUUGUAAGUAGUAUUUAGAAGAAAAUUAGGGUUGUAUAUGUUAGAAAUGUCCCCUAAAAAAAAUGUUAGAAAUGUUUUGUAGUAUAUUAAACAAUUAUUUAGCUUGGUUUCAUUUAAUACAUUUUGUUUAUAUUAGUAAGAAUUUAGUCAAUUUAGUCAUGAUUGUAGUACUCUUAUAAAUUCAUUAGUUCGAAAAUUUUCAAUAAAAAUAUGACAAUUAUUUUGA